rnacentral:rRNA from 1 species
GGCUCAGGACGAACGCUGGCGGCGCGCCUAAUACAUGCAAGUCGAGCGAGAAGACGUAGCAAUACGUUUGUAAAGCGGCGAACGGGUGAGGAAUACAUGGGUAACCUACCCUCGAGUGGGGAAUAACUAGCCGAAAGGUUAGCUAAUACCGCAUACGGCUCCUGGUCUGCGGAUCGGGAGAGAAAGCGAUACCAUGGGUAUCGCGCUCUUGGAUGGGCUCAUGUCCUAUCAGCUUGUUGGUGAGGUAAUGGCUCACCAAGGCUUCGACGGGUAGCUGGUCUGAGAGGACGAUCAGCCACACUGGCACUGCGACACGGGCCAGACUCCUACGGGAGGCAGCAGUAAGGAAUAUUGCGCAAUGGGCGAAAGCCUGACGCAGCGACGCCGCGUGGGGGAUGAAGGUCUUCGGAUUGUAAACCCCUUUCGGGAGGGAAGAUGGAGCGAGCAAUCGUUCGGACGGUACCCCCAGAAGCAGCCACGGCCAACUUCGUGCCAGCAGCCGCGGUAAUACGAAGGUGGCAAGCGUUGUUCGGAUUCACUGGGCGUACAGGGUGUGUAGGCGGUUUGGUAAGCCUUCUGUUAAAGCUUCGGGCCCAACCCGGAAAGCGCAGAGGGUACUGCCAGGCUAGAGGGUGGGAGAGGAGCGCGGAAUUCCCGGUGUAGCGGUGAAAUGCGUAGAGA